CUGUUUUGAUUGCAACUUUUUAAGUUGAUUUGUCUACAAUUGUGUUGAUAACUUAGAUCGUUAAAGUGUGGAUUAAAUCGGUUUGGAAUUUAGCCGUUUUUGAAGAAUUAGAUGACACCUAAGAUAGAUUUUAGUGAUCCAUUAUACAUAGGGGCAUCAGAAGGGUCUGGUGCUACAUUGAUUCCAAUCAAACUCACUGGUUCAGAGAAUUAUGGAGUAUGGAGUCGUUCAAUGCGAAUUGCGUUGUUAGGGAAAAGGAGAUUUGGCUUUGUAACUGGAGCAUGGAGUAAGGAUAACUAUAGAGAAGAACUACAUGAGUAGUGGGAAACUUGUAAUGCAAUUGUGCUCUUGGUUGAUGAUUUCUGUUAGUGAAGAGUUGUGUAAUGACCCUACAAUCUAUUUAAUCAUUUUUGGCCUCUAAUCUAUUUAAUCAGUUAGGACCUGCAAGAGACAAAGGCUAGUGGGAAAGCUUCUUUAGGAUAAAAAAUAAAAAGUUACCCUAUCUAUGGAUUCAAUCAUUCAGCACUAAAAUACACUUUAUUUCUGCAGUAAUGCAAACCUUUCCUUAUGGUUAAUCACAUACAUAUAUCCUUUCUCCAUUGGAUUCUUGAAACACCAGUUACCAGUAAAGUUUUUCUCCAUCCUUGUUGAGAGAGUUUUCUUCAAUACCAGGUACAGAUCCGACGAUCUCUUGAUAUUGAUUUCUGUGGCUCCUUCGUUGCUAGCAUCAUCAGAGAUUCGAGGUAGCUGCUACUGGUUUCAGCGACUACUGAAAUCUCCUCCAACUUUAUUCUUAUGCAUUUUCCGCAUUUUGAAAGACUCGAACUUUCUUUUGGUUCUGUAUUUAGUGGCUUCUAUUAGUGACUUCCAGACCUGGGAUCAUCUAUGAAUUAACUUUACUAGCC